GACGAACGCUGGCGGCGUGCUUAACACAUGCAAGUCGAACGGAAAGGCCCUGCUUUUGUGGGGUGCUCGAGUGGCGAACGGGUGAGUAACACGUGAGUAACCUGCCCUUGACUUUGGGAUAACCUCAGGAAACCGGGGCUAAUACCGGAUAGGAGCUCCUGCUGCAUGGUGGGGGUUGGAAAGUUUCGGCGGUUGGGGAUGGACUCGCGGCUUAUCAGCUUGUUGGUGGGGGAGUGGCUUACCAAGGGUUUGACGGGUAGCCGGCCUGGGAGGGUGGCCGGCCACAUUGGGACUGAGGUACGGCCCAGACUCCAACGGGAGGCAGCAGUGGGGAAUAUUGCACAGUGGGCGGGAGCCUGAUGCGGCGACGCCGCGUGCGGGAUGACGGCCUUCGGGUUGUAAACCGCUUUCGCCUGUGACGAAGCGUGAGUGACGGUAAUGGGUAAAGAAGCACCGGCUAACUACGUG
rnacentral:rRNA from 1 species